GAUGAACGCUGGCGGCGUGCCUAAUACAUGCAAGUCGAGCGAACAGACGAGGAGCUUGCUCCUCUGACGUUAGCGGCGGACGGGGGAGUAACACGUGGAUAACCUACCUAUAAGACUGGGAUAACUUCGGGAAACCGGAGCCAAUACCGGAUAAUAUAUUGAACCGCAUGGUUCAAUAGUGAAAGACGGUUUUGCUGUCACUUAUAGAUGGAUCCGCGCCGCAUUAGCUAGUUGGUAAGGUAACGGCUUACCAAGGCAACGAUGCGUAGCCGACCUGAGAGGGUGAUCGGCCACACUGGAACUGAGACACGGUCCAGACUCCUACGGGAGGCAGCAGUAGGGAAUCUUCCGCAAUGGGCGAAAGCCUGACGGAGCAACACCGCGUGAGUGAUGAAGGUCUUCGGAUCGUAAAACUCUGUUAUUAGGGAAGAACAAAUGUGUAAGUAACUAUGCACGUCUUGACGGUACCUAAUCAGAAAGCCACGGCUAACUACGUG
rnacentral:rRNA from 1 species